GUUUGUACUCUAUACUGUCGUCAUGGCCCAUGGAAUAUUAUAGGAACCCAAAGGGAAAUAAAUGACAAUCUAGAAACCUCAAGAUGCAUAUCUUACCCCAGAUAACAAACAUUUUCUUUGAAGAGCAUAUCAUCCAUUACCUACUGUGCCAUUUGUAUUGCACUACAGCCAAGCUAAGAUCUGCCGGUGGUAGCUGGUCCACUGCAAGACGUUGAGGUGCGGGAGGUCCCUCUGCCCCCCCUGGACGUCAAGGGGGCUCCGGCGUACACUGUACCUGCAGUACCUCAUCGAUUGGGAGGGGUACGGUCUGGAGGAGAGGUGCUGGGUGCUGGUGGGGGACAUCUUGG
ensembl:lncRNA